rnacentral:rRNA from 1 species
AGAGUUUGAUCCUGGCUCAGAUUGAACGCUGGCGGCAUGCCUAACACAUGCAAGUCGAACGGCAGCACAGAGGAGCUUGCUCCUUGGGUGGCGAGUGGCGGACGGGUGAGUAAUGCAUCGGGAUCUACCCUGACGUGGGGGAUAACCUCGGGAAACCGGGACUAAUACCGCAUACGUCCUACGGGAGAAAGCGGGGGACCUUUUAGGCCUCGCGCGGCAGGACGAACCGAUGUGCGAUUAGCUAGUUGGCGGGGUAAUGGCCCACCAAGGCGACGAUCGCUAGCUGGUCUGAGAGGAUGAUCAGCCACACUGGGACUGAGACACGGCCCAGACUCCUACGGGAGGCAGCAGUGGGGAAUAUUGGACAAUGGGCGCAAGCCUGAUCCAGCAAUGCCGCGUGUGUGAAGAAGGCCUUCGGGUUGUAAAGCACUUUU